GCCUGUUUGGCCAAGCUUCUAUAAAACAGUUUCUGCUUUAGAAGUACUUUUUGAGAAACUAAGUAGUCUAUGCUAAACUGAAAAGAAUUUGGACGUAAUGCUAUGAUAGCCUGACAGGUGGUUUUAUGCCCAUAUAAAAAGGUAAUCCUUUUUUGGUUUUAUGGCCCAUGGAUGUGGUGCUUCUGCUUUCCGUCCCUCUAUACCUUUGCUUCUUUCUAUUUGACAGGUAAUGGAACUAGAUGUGACAACAAUUGAUCACAAUUAGCAAGAUGAAUAUGUAUUGCUGAAUCUUGAUGCUGUUUGUGGCCAAGUCAACAUUCUUCUAAAUGAGCCAUAUGUUCUUACUGGUCUGGAUACAGCCAACCCAGUCUUGACCAUAGGGGACAAACUAAAGCUGGUCUACACUCCGAGGAUUGCGCCUUAUGCGAGGAAUUUGAUGUGGUUCGUGAGCAAUGGGCUAAGUUUUUUACCAGCAAGUAUUUAUUAUUGGCUUUAGCGCGCUUGAUCGAGUUGGUUUAGUUGUUAUAGAAUAAAUUUUAUAUUAAAAUGUAUGUUUAUGUUGAAAUUGGAACAUAUAUUUAAAUGUAAUAUGUGCACUUUGGUUUUGGGAUAUAUAGUAUACAAAACUCCAGUUGUUGUUUU